UGAUGAUGAUGAUGAUGAUGAUGAUGAUGAUACCUAUCAUCAUCAUCAUCAUCGUUGGGU
rnacentral:pre_miRNA from 1 species